rnacentral:rRNA from 1 species
AGCAGCCGCGGUAAUUCCAGCUCCAAUAGCGUAUAUUAAAGUUGUUGCAGUUAAAAAGCUCGCAGUUGAAUUUCGGGGUUCUACCGUUGGUCGGGCUUCGUCUGUACUGGCGUGUAGAAUUUCUACCUUCUGGGGAACCAUCAUGUUAUUAAUUUAACGAGGUGGGAAACCAGGACCUUUACCUUGAAUAAAUUAGAGUGUUCAAAGCAGGCUUAUGUCUGAAUACAUUAGCAUGGAAUAAUAAAAUAGGACGGUGGUCCUGUUUUGUUGGUUUCUGAAUCACCGUAAUGAUUAAUAGGGAUAGUUGGGGGCAUUAGUAUUCAAUUGUCAGAGGUGAAAUUCUUGGAUUUAU